AUGCUCUGUAGCACACACACCAAAGUUGGAAUAUUGCAGAGACGAUUAGCAUGACUCCUGCAAAAGGGUGACAGGCAAAUCCGUGGAGGCUUCUCUGUUCGC
ensembl:snRNA U6 U6 spliceosomal RNA